AUUUAGUGGAGUGGAUUAUUCUUUUGGUUGCAAAGGCAGUGAUUUGCUGGAGGCGGGAGGAAAUUCAUGGAAGAGGCACACAAUUCGGGUGACCCUUUGAAUGUGACCUUCCACUGACCUUUCCAGUAGAGCCAAGCAGCAAAGUAGUGUCAAAGUGGAGAACUUCCAGGAGCUCUGACCGCAGGGCGAUGGCUACUGAAGAGGUGGAAGGGUGUUGGUGAUAAAAACCAAUGGGUGCCCAGGAGCAAACUGUGGAGGAAGAUCCCAGCCUGACCCCCAGGAUGUUUCCACUCAACAAACGACCGAGGAAGAGGGCAGGAGCGACGGAGGGGAAAGCUGGCACGCAUGUGGAGAUUCUGGAAGAACCAGAGGCGGAAAGCCUGGGCGUGCCACCCCGUGCCCGCUCCGACAGCGAGGACGGAGACGAGAGGAAGGGCGAGAAGUUUACCUGCUCCAUCUGUAGGAAGAACUUCACCUUCCUCAGUGUGCUGUCGGUCCACAUGCGGACACACACAGGCGAGAAGCCCUACAAGUGCCCGUACUGUGAGCACAGGGCAUCCCAGAAAGGCAACCUCAAGAUACACAUCCGCACCCACAGGAUGGGGGACCUAAGCGAGGGCCAUGAGACAGGUGGGGGUGGGCGGCAGGUGGAAGAGCCUGACGGGAUGGAGACCCGCCAACCCCAGUCGGCCAAGGAAGAUCACGGGAAGGUGUUGCCUCGGAUGGUGAAGGAGAGGGAAGCCCACGCUAGUGCAGGUGCCUCUACGCUGCGGUGCAGGGGCUGCGGGGGAGCCUUCGAGAAACAGGAGCAGCUGGACCAACACGUUCAGCUCUUCCACCAGCUGUACAAGUGCAGGCUUUGCGACUACUCCACUCUGAGGGAAGACCGCUUCCUCAGCCACAUCGAGAGGGUCCACAUCACGGCAGAGGUGCCAAGAGGAGCCGGCGAGGAGGAGGAGCGGGCCGAGCGGCGGGUGGGACGGUUCACCUGCGACACUUGCCAGGCGACGUUCACCCAAGCCUGGUGCCUGAAGGCCCACAUGAAGAAGCACAGCGGCGCCCUGGAGCAUGGCUGCCCAGUGUGUGGCCGCAGGUUUAAGGAGCCCUGGUUCCUGAAGAACCACAUGAAGGUGCACAGCGCGAGGAACAGGAGCAGGAGCAAAAUCAGGAGGGGCGACGGCGAGGAUUUGGUCACCAUCAACAACGUGGUGCAAGAGGAAAGAAUGGGGGUGGCCUUCUCUCAGUACGAGAUGUGCAUGAAAUGCGGCUACCUGUUCCCAAACGGGCAGAGUCUCAUCAAACACGAGGAGCUCCACUCCAGAGCUGAUCCACACCACCCAGGGGAACAAGCACCAGAUAUCUCGACCAAGGAUGGUUUCCUUCAGUGUCUGGACCUGAGGCCAGUUUUGUCAUUGGAGAACUUCGCAGACCGCUUGUCGGCGAAGGGGCUGGCGGAGUUUGAUCCCGUGAGCAGCCACUUGGCGUGGUAUUUGACCCAGGGGGGAGAGGUGGGAGACCUGACACAAGACGAUGCCACGUCGGAGACCGGUGACAAGGUGAGAGGGGAAGGCAUCCUCGCCGGCGCAGAGAAGCGCAAGCGGGAAGGAGACGCCGUCGGCGGCAGCGGCUGCUCCAAACGGCGAGACGGACUGAUGGGCGAGGGGUGUUUGUUGAGCCGAUCCAGGGAGAGUUGUGAGCCCGGCCCCAGCAAGGGCAGAAGCACCGAGUGUCCAGAAUGUGGCAAGGUGUUCCGCACCUACCACCAAGUGGUGCUCCACUCCAGAGUUCACAGGAGGAAGAGGAUGCAGGAGCCCGGGCCCAGCUCCAUCAGCGAAGCAGACUCCACGUCCAACAGUCAGCCCAGCUCCCCCAGCUCCAUCUCAGCCCCGGAAGAUGCAGCCGUGCCUGCACUGGCCCAGGCUGGUGCUCACCAUUCAGGAGGCAUCGCGGAGAUGCUGUCAGAAAAGGAUGCAGCGGGGAAGUCGGACAUGGAAAAUCCCCACAUUUUUUCCCCUGGCACAACGACCGAGUCAUCUCCACUUCAAUGCCACAGGGACAACCACCACACAUCUCCUCAGAAUGGAACCAAAGAAGACCUUCCAAAUCCCGCUAACGUAAUUUUACCUCACGUGGCUGGCGUCUUCCCUUCCAAUAGGGAUGCUGCUUGCUGUUUGGAUGCAAAGGGAUUCGCUGAAGUUUCUGAGUGCUAUGGUUCAAUCCUUGAAGAAGGUGCAUCGUUGGAGCAACCUAAAUGUGAGCUUAUUGGACUCACAGGAGAUGACAUUCAUUCUAGCUCGGCAUCAGGAUGCCAGAACACUGCAAGGGAUCGGACCAUGUCAAGCUAUGCAGGUUCACCUCAGUUUGAGAGAUCAAAUGGUCACAUGUUAAGAACAGAAAGGCCUUCACAAUGUGUAAGGAGAGGCCACAUCACUGACUCAAAUCAAAAUGGGGCCUAUGAUGACUUUCCUUUGGACUUGACCUCAGCAUUGUUGACUGACAAUCCUUGUGCAGAUAAUUUGGCUCCGAAGGGUAGACUUCCCUCAUCACUGCCGAAUGCCAUGAUCAUCCAUUUUUGCCAGUUCUGCAGUCACACAACCCUUUACCCCGAAGUUCUCUUGAUGCACCAACGUGUCAACCACAAGAUAAAUCUCCACAUCAUCCCUCCUGAACAUCUUUCAGGACAUGGGUCAAAAGACAAGGUUCAUCAUGUAGUCGGGGUCAGUGGUGUUCGACGCACUGGGCCUCCUCCCAUGCUGAAUGGCAAAGAGUGUUCUCCUGUGGCCUUUUCUAGACCAGCUCGCACCCACUCUCCCUCUGUGAGCCAAACAGUAACGCUGAAUUCAACUCCUCCAUGCUCGGAGACCUCUGGCAAGUCAUUUGAUUCACCCCAGAGCAGACCUUACACCCAAUCUACAGGCAGAACAUCUGGGGUCCCAGUUCACGAUCCUCACCGGCAUCAAAGAGCAAGGAACAGCCAUGAACUAUGUGGAUUUACAUCAGGAUCGAAAGUGAGACCAAAUAUCACUUUACAGCAGAAACAAGUUGGUAACUUUGAAAAGAGCUUUUUUAGUUCACCUGCAUUUCUGGGAUUUGGCAUGCCAAUUGGGAGAGUAGCAGAAAGCCAAGAUAUUUUGAAAGAGGCUGUGGGAUUUCUGCAGUUUGAUGACCAGUGCCAGGCACACCCGCCAAAGGUUCCAGGUGGUCGAGGCAUCAAGGACCAAGCCUCGCCCAAGGGUGACCAACAUACUCUGUAUAAAACCUCCGCGCUGCAUCAGCAUGAGUGUAUCAGCAAGUCAGUAGGUACGAGUAAGCUGGGCUGGCUGGGGAGCCCAGCACGAAAUGGGUGGACAGGUGUGCCUUGGCCACAUUGCUCAGGACCAGCAAAAGUCUCCACCCUUCAACACUCUGUCAAACGGGGGUCGCCCCUAGGAGCAGGAGAUUUGAGCAAACACAUGGAUCCCUUUCACAUGAUCACGCCUUACAGAACUCGAGACCUGUCGGCCUUGUUACACAGCUGGAGAGGAGAUACUCAUCACUUUGUGUGUCCCACAGACAAAGGAGGUAGGAGACCCUUCCAAUGCCGGUUCUGCCCUUACAGUGCUUCCCAGAAGGGGAAUCUGAAAAUGCACGUACAAUACGUUCAUCGUGUACCAUUCGACAACAGUCUGUACCCAGAUCGCCGCUUCAGACUCUCGCAGGGUGAAAACAGUCUCUACAGAUCCAUGGAGGGGCAGCUUGAUCCCUCUUCGCUAGAUCAUCAUCUUCCUGGAGCAACUAUCCUGGAAUGACGAUAUCCCCCAAACUUGGGAGUCUCUGGAUUUCUCCGUUCACACGAGGCAAAAAGUGGUGGAAAUCUUUUGGCGAGUGGGAAACGUGACAAGAUGUUGUGGGUCUGUUUUAGGCCUUAAGGAGGCAGGGAACAAGUAUCCAUGGCAUAAAAUCAGACAAAGCCAGACUGAGUCAUCUAUGGAAGAACAUCUGCUCUCUGCUAACAAAAUGCAGACAAGUGGUGCUAUUAGAAGAAAAGUCAACCAGCUGUUUGGAAAACAUUUUUUUUAUUGACUAUUUGCAUUGGCAACGUAAACUAAUUAAAUCAUCACUAGGUUGCACCCAAGUUUUUUUUUUCUUCAAUUGGGAGAAAUUGUUGUGGUUUGAGACGAGCUGAUGCCAUCAGUCUGAGACUAGAUGCAUUAGACUGAUAAUCAGCAAAAUGCAACAACUUGGACUAGCAACUCUGCCCUGAUCACAUCAUUGAAAAUGAUUGUCAAACUUUAUCAAAGAGGCAUUCUUUUUUUUUUUUCAACUUAAUGACUGGAUUUGGCAAAACUAAUUCCUGUUAACAAUUAAAAGGCAAGUCAUGUCAACAGGAAACUCUGUGCCCUCCCCUAUAGAGCAGUCUAGACUUCACAAUGGACUGCUUUAAAACAAAUGAACAUUUCUUCUGCAGAUACAGACGCCGACACAGGAAACAGGGAAGGUUUUCCAACAAGUAAAACUAUUCUGUUCAUCUAAUUUGAAGAAAUGUUCAUGGUAAAAUGGUCAGUUGCACAACAGCAGAGAACUAUGCAUUCCUUUAUUGCUCAGGACUAUGUACAGGGUUAAUCCACCAUUGCAUUGGUUAAUUGUUGUCACGUAUACUGAGAUACAGUGAAUACUUUUGUUUGGGUGCUACCCAGUUAAAUCAUACUGCACAUAUGUACAAUCAAGCCAUACACACCCACAGCAGGUAGUGCAAAGAGAAAAUUAGCAGAGCGCUGAAUUUAGUGUUCCAGCAGUAUAGUUAUGAAGAAAGUGCAGAUAAAAUAUAUGUAAUGCCCACAAUGGUCAGUUGGAAGAUCAGGACUACACCCUGGGUUACGAGAUGUCCGUUUAGAAGUCCGUGAUAACAGUGGGGAAGAAGGUGUUCCUGAAUCUGGUGGUACAUGUUUUCAACCUUUUGUA